rnacentral:lncRNA from 1 species
GAAGACCUCAUAGAACAGAUCAAAGGAGGCUUCAUGGAAUUUGAUAAAUUAAUUGCUUCUCCUGAUAUGAUGCCUAAGGUCUUAAAUUUAUCUUCUUUUACUUGCUCUUUAGAUUUUAUUAUCCAAUUCAAACCUUAACUAAAUGGUGUAUCUCAGUAAGUGAUACAAAAAGUUGGUAACUGGCUGAAUUAUCUCCUAAUGUGGAUUAGAAAUCACCUUUUAAGUGGUUGGUAUGUCUAAUUCUGAUUAUUUUAGAGACUACUCUGUUCAUUGUCGUCCCUUCAAUACAUUUGCAGUUAAUGCAUGUUUAAUCUGUGCUAGCAUAGCAUGUCACAGUUGAUUUUCUUCAUGUGCUAAAAUGCUAAUCAUCUUUCGUAAGUGAAUAUUAAAAUUAGAUGGCAUCGUAUGGGAUGCUACCCAUGUGUUCCUGCCUGACAUUCUAAAAAGAUUUUGAUAAGAUGCAUUUGUCCUCUCUAAAUUCCCUUUUAAAUAAACUAACAAACCGAUGUGUAUGUCAAUUGUGGCAUGCUAGGUGCUUUAGUACACGUAUAAGGUACUAUGGUUAGGCCUUUAGAUAUAUUGUCCUGGUAGUAUGUAAUUACAAAGAGUUCAGUAAUUCAAUGAAGUUUUUUUGGAUUGAUAUUUAUGACGGAAACUUGCUUAACUGUCAUUGUUGGUUGUAUCAGGUUGCUAGCCUAGGUAAGAUUCUGGGGCCAAGAGGACUGAUGCCAAAUCCAAAAGCGGGCACUGUAACUCCUAAUAUUCCUCAGGUGUGUUGUCCACUUCUAUUGUGUAUCUUUUCUUUUCAAGUUCACUUGCAAAGGAGUGUUUGCGCUGUUUGUAUAGUGUAGUUAUAUAGAACCUGGAGUUUUAAUUAGUAGAUAUCGAGUUUAUCUUUUUUCUUGAAAAAUAUAUAAAACAUGAUUCUAACAUUUAGGCAAGGGGGAAUAGAUGAAAAAAUUUAACAGCAUUGAUUUGUUUUGCUUGUGACAAUGUUGCAAGUCUUUCAAUUCAGAAAUAUUCUACUUAGUUUAACCAGGAAUCUUUCAAAUUCACCUGUUCAGGC